rnacentral:rRNA from 1 species
UACGUAGGGGGCAAGCGUUGUCCGGAAUCAUUGGGCGUAAAGAGCGUGUAGGCGGCCAGAAAAGUCCGCUGUGAAAACUCGAGGCUCAACUUCGAGCUGUCGGUGGAAACUUUCUGGCUAGAGUCCGGAAGAGGAGAAUGGAAUUCCUGGUGUAGCGGUGAAAUGCGCAGAUAUCAGGAAGAACACCCGUGGCGAAGGCGGUUCUCUGGGACGGUACUGACGCUAAGGCGCGAAAGCGUGGGGAGCAAACAGG